AGCUCCUUGAGAAUGCCAUCACUUCAGGUAGCCAAAUGCCUCGUCAUCUAAUUAGUGACGCGCUUGGUUGAAAAGCGAGUGGCGCGAAGCUACCAUGCGUUGGAUUAUGAUUGAACGCCUCUAAGUCAGAAUCCGGGCUAGAAGCAAUGCGUGUGCCCGCCGUUUGUUUGCCGACCAGCAGUAGGGGGCCUUGGCCCCCCAGACACACGUGUCGUUGGUGACCCUCGUAAGGUGAAUCAGCCUUGCGAGACGCCUUGAAGCGCAAUUCCCAUCGAGCGGCGGGUAGAAUCCUUUGCAGACGACUUAAAUACGCGACGAGGUAUUGUAAGUGGCAAAGUGGCCUUGCUGCCACGAUCCACUGAGAUUCAGCCCUUGUCGCUUUGAUUC
rnacentral:ncRNA from 1 species